rnacentral:rRNA from 1 species
AUAUUGCACAAUGGGGGAGACCCUGAUGCAGCGACGCCGCGUGAGUGAAGAAGUAUUUCGGUNUGUAAAGCUCUAUCAGCAGGGANNACNNNGNCGGUACCUGAUUAAGAAGCCCCGGCUAACUACGUGCNNNCNACCGCGGUAAUACGUAGGGGGCAAGCGUUAUCCGGAUUUACUGGGUGUAAAGGGAGCGUAGACGGCAGCACAAGUCUGGAGUGAAAUGCCGGGGCUUAACCCCGGAACUGCUUUGGAAACUGUGCAGCUAGAGUGCAGGAGAGGUAAGUGGAAUUCCUAGUGUAGCGGUGAAAUGCGUAGAUAUUAGGAGGAACACCAGUGGCGAAGGCGGCUUACUGGACUGUAACUGACGUUGAGGCUCGAAAGCGUGGGGAGCAAACAGG